CCCGGGCCCGCCGCCGUGCGCCCUCCGCCUCGGUGCGUCGGGUACGGGCCGCCCCCGGGCUGAACGGAACCGGCCGCCUCCUCUGGAUAAUGUUUCCAACCGGUGGGGUUUGGGUGGUGCACGGCGGGCGGGAACCGAGCAGCCCCGGAGGUGCAGGAGCGGCUCCCAGCGCUGCCAUCAUGCCAGUUAAGAGAGCACUGAAGUUGGAGACCCUUGCAAAAGAAAACCCACAUGAAGCAACACCUUUGAAGACCAGAAAGAAAAAUUUAAGCUCAUAUUCACCAACAACAGGAACAUGCCAAAUCAGUGCAUUUUCAUCUCCCACAAGUCAUAAUGUACAAAAGCUCGGAAAUGGUCUAUCAAAUGGAGACCGAGAUGAGCUGAAUUACUCAGAAAUGAGUUUAUCCAGAAGAGGGCAAUCUCAAACAGAAGAGUAUGAUAAGUUUAUGGUGUUGCAGUCUGAAGUUGAAAAUUCAUUGGUGAGAUUUCUGAAAAUGAGACAAAGCUUAACAAGUUUACAGGCUUUAGAGGGCAGUAGAGAGCUUGAAAAUAUUUUUGGCGUCUCAGACUCAUCCUGUAACUUGAAAGCUGAAGUGCAGAAGACCAAAGUGCUAAUGGCUCAAGCAGAAAAACGAAAGCUGCUGAAGAGGAGUAAUGCAAAACAUCCUGCCCGAGAAUAUGUACAAUCUGGUAACAGUUAUGAAUUCCUUAAAUCCCUCAUUAACUGAGGCACUAUGUGAAAAAUGCAUUCCGUAUCAACACAAAGUUCUACAUCUGCUUUAUUGUACUUAAAAGGAGAGAAGAAAUGCCUGUAAAUCUAUCUCCCCAGCAAAUACCAAUUAAGGAUUGCUCAUUGCACAAGGCAGAAACAGCUGGGUCUGCUAAGAACCAUUUCCCAAUUCUACACAAGGUAGAUCAGAUGACUCUCGCUUUAUCACCCUUGGAGGCCAUCUGAAGGACAAAGAAAAGAGAUACGCACAAAACUAAUGUUUUUAUAUGGUGGGGAACCCUUGGCCCUAAUCUUGUGACGAAUACAAGACAGAAGAGAGUAACUGAAAUGUGAAACUAUUCCACUUUCUUCCAUCUUAGUUGGAUGUUUUACACAUUCUUUUAUUGAAAAUAGAGGUUCACCACAUUGCUUUAACUUUUGGCAGUGUUUCACUAAGUUUAUUUGCGCAAAGUUCUGUAGGAGUUUUCUCAAAAUCACUGUGGACUCUUUCUAUGGCUGAUACACAUAACUACCCACUCCUUUUUAAAAGAAAGAAAAUAUUUUAUUGUGGUUGGAAAUUUUGCAUGCCUUACACAUGGAUAAUCAUCAUGGUAACACCCUCUCAGAAGAAUGUUAAAUGUUUAUGGAAAGGUUACAGUUACAGCUUGGAAUAAACUGUCAUACACUAGGUCAAGUGCUGUCUGUCUACAUAUAUAAUUGCAGUUCAGUAAUGCCUUAUAUGUUAAGUGGAAUGUUAUACCUCGUACAAAAUAAAGCUGCCUUCUAGAA